AUAAGUUCUACGGGGUAGCAGAAAUAAGCGCGGGGUUAGCGUUGCCGGCACGUGAAGCACGUGCCGGCCGCGGAGUGUCUGCAUGCACGGCGGGGCCAAUCAUCGUCGGACAAAACAUGCAUGCAGGCCGACUUGCAGAUAAGCAACGUUCCGUCGUCUGACCGGGGAAUGCAGUGAUCGGGCGGCGGCGGACAUUUUUUAAUC
rnacentral:ncRNA from 1 species